UACAGAGGGUGCGAGCGUUAAUCGGAAUUACUGGGCGUAAAGCGUGCGUAGACGGUUAUUUAAGUCGGAUGUGAAAGCCCCGGGCUCAACCUGGGAAUUGCAUUCGAGACUGAAUAGCUAGGGUGCGGUAGAGGGAAGCGGAAUUUCCGGUGUAGCGGUGAAAUGCGUAGAUAUCGGAAGGAACAUCAGUGGCGAAAGCGGCUUCCUGGACCAGCACCGACGUUCAGGCACGAAAGCGUGGGGAGCAAACAGGAUUAGAUACCCUGGUAGUCCACGCCAUAAACGAUGAGGACUAGACGUUGGAGGGGUAAGCCUUUCAGUGUCGUAGCUAACGCGCUAAGUCCUCCGCCUGGGGAGUACGGCCGCAAGGUUGAA
rnacentral:rRNA from 1 species